rnacentral:rRNA from 1 species
CCUACGGGAGGCAGCAGUGGGGAAUCUUAGACAAUGGGGGCAACCCUGAUCUAGCCAUGCCGCGUGAGUGAUGAAGGCCUUAGGGUCGUAAAGCUCUUUCGCCUGUGAUGAUAAUGACAGUAGCAGGUAAAGAAACCCCGGCUAACUCCGUGCCAGCAGCCGCGGUAAUACGGAGGGGGUUAGCGUUGUUCGGAAUUACUGGGCGUAAAGCGCGCGUAGGCGGAUUAGAAAGUUGGGGGUGAAAUCCCGGGGCUCAACCCCGGAACUGCCUCCAAAACUGCUAGUCUAGAGUUCGAGAGAGGUGAGUGGAAUUCCGAGUGUAGAGGUGAAAUUCGUAGAUAUUCGGAGGAACACCAGUGGCGAAGGCGGCUCACUGGCUCGAUACUGACGCUGAGGUGCGAAAGUGUGGGGAGCAAACAGGAUUAGAUACCCUGGUAGUCCACACCGUAAACGAUGAAUGCCAGUCGUCGGGUAGUAUACUAUUCGGUGACACACCUAACGGAUUAAGCAUUCCGCCUGGGGAGUACGGUCGCAAGAUUAAAACUCAAAGGAAUUGACGG